rnacentral:rRNA from 1 species
AACGAACGCUGGCGGCAAGCUUAACACAUGCAAGUCGAACGAGCUGGGAACUUCGGUUCCCGAUGCUAGUGGCGCACGGGUGAGUAACACGUGGGAACGUACCCUUUAGUACGGAAUAACUCAGGGAAACUUGAGCUAAUACCGUAUGACUCCUUCGGGAGAAAGAUUUAUCGCUAAAGGAGCGGCCCGCGUCUGAUUAGGUAGUUGGUGAGGUAACGGCUCACCAAGCCGACGAUCAGUAGCUGGUCUGAGAGGAUGAUCAGCCACACUGGGACUGAGACACGGCCCAGACUCCUACGGGAGGCAGCAGUGGGGAAUAUUGGACAAUGGGGGCAACCCUGAUCCAGCCAUGCCGCGUGAGUGAAGAA